UACGUAGGUGGCAAGCGUUGUCCGGAAUUAUUGGGCGUAAAGCGAGCGCAGGCGGUCCCUUAAGUCUGAUGCGAAAGCACACGGCUCAACCGUGGAGGGUCAUUGGAAACUGGGGGCAUUGAGUACAGAAGGGGAAAGUGGAAUUCCAUGUGUAGCGGUGAAAUGCGUAGAGAUGUGGAGGAACACCAGUGGCGAAGGCGACUUUCUGGUCUGUAACCGACGCUGAGGCGCGAAAGCGUGGGGAGCAAACAGG
rnacentral:misc_RNA from 1 species